rnacentral:lncRNA from 1 species
AUUCAUAACUGGAGAAUGGAGGAGAUGGAAGGUCCUUGUGCUGAAUUUAGUAAAGGUUUUUGUGCUGAAUUUAGUAAAACAGACCACUGGAGAAAGUGGUGAGAGACUGGCAAUGAUGUACUGAACGAGCAUGGUGGAAAGACAACAUAGUCUAAUGGGGUUUGUCAUUAGCCUAACAUGUGCAUAGCCUGCUUUGAUAGAGAGCCUUCAGGAUAUAUUUUCAUCUAUGUGACCUUACCGCCUGUAUAUUUUGUACAGUACAUAUUUUUAAAAACAAUGUAGGAAGAAAUACCCUAAAUGUGGAAGUAAAAUUGAAGCUGUCAGAAACAUUUAUAACUAGAAAGUAUUUGAUAAUAUAAUAGCAAUUCUGACAUAAGUACAAUCAAGGUAGAUACUUAAGAGCGGAAAGCAUUUUAAGUUGAACUGUUUACUUCUUUCAAUGUAGGACACAAUGGAGAAUUGUUAACAUGCUUUUUGAAUUUGGAAUAUUAGAAACCGAUGCGUCUUUGAAAUUUAUUUAUACUGUGAACAGUAUUGGAUAUAAAGGCAACAUCAAUGUUAAGUUAUUGACAUCUUAUUUUUAUAUAACGUUGAACCAGCUAUAAAGAUUCAACCAUGGCUACAUCUUGUAUCUAUUAACUUACAGGACAUAAUGGAAUAUCUAUAAUGUUAAGUUUGUCUUUGAAUCAUAAUAUAUCAGGCGAACAAGAGUAAAAGUUGAA